UACGUAGGGGGCUAGCGUUGUCCGGAUUUAUUGGGCGUAAAGAGCUCGUAGGCGGUUUGUCGCGUCUGCCGUGAAAGUCCGGGGCUCAACUCCGGAUCUGCGGUGGGUACGGGCAGACUAGAGUGAUGUAGGGGAGACUGGAAUUCCUGGUGUAGCGGUGAAAUGCGCAGAUAUCAGGAGGAACACCGAUGGCGAAGGCAGGUCUCUGGGCAUUAACUGACGCUGAGACGCGAAAGCGUGGGGAGCAAACAGG
rnacentral:rRNA from 1 species